CUGCCCUUGGUAGCUUAAUCUUGCUUUGCAUCUUCACAUGAACUGGAACGAUAGCACCACAUCGACCAAAUUGUACAUGUCAGUUGUCCUUCCUUGGGAUUGGGUUGGUUGAUCAUUCUGUUUGCUUUCGAACUUGAGAAAUCUCCAAUGGGUGGCACACGUUAUAAAAGGCCAUUAGCCUCCGAUUCUCAUUCAAUCACGUCCAUAUGAACUUGUGAAAAGUAUAGCCGUCAACACUAGAAAUUCGACAACUUGUGAAACUCUCAAAGUCCUAGUCCGUAUCAAAUAUGUAUUUCCUUUCUUUUAUGGCGGUUAAUCUCAUUCUAAAUGAGCGUGUUCGCACCUCGUUUCACUGCCCACAACAAAAGUUUGCUACCACCUCAGGUACAUUCCUUUCUGUUGUCAGAAAUGAUCAUCACUGGUACAUCGAAUCUGCAAGUUUUUGCAGAUAUCUGUAGCCCCUAUUCUUUCCAAAGCUACUGCGUCUACCCAUUUAGUGAAGUAGUAAGUUGCAGCUAACAAAUACUUGACGCCCCCAGUGCAGCUGAAAACGAACCUACACCUUGUUGAACAUCCACGGGCUGACAACCAGAUGCAACUCAUUCGCUGGUCUCUUUAUAAGCAUUUUCUUAUAUAGUCCAUGUGUCACUCUGCAUAUAAGGCCAGAAGUAGUAUUGAGAGCCUAUGCGCUAGACUCCUGCCUUCAGAAUGAUCCUCACAGCACCCUUCAUGUGCCUCAGCGAAGAAUUGCUUCCCUUCCUCUCUAGUAACACAAGGAAGAUGAAUUUGUGGACGUGUUUAGCGCCUCCAUCCUCACCAAAGCUACUACCUGAAGCCAUUUGGUGAUGCAGUCAAUUGCAUCUAGCAAGUAGUACAUGCCCCCAAGUGCAAUGCAUUCUUUAGUCCAGAGACUCUUGCUUCAUACUCCGAUUGAUUGUUUAAAGCUGUAAAUCUUAGUUGGACGGCUUUUUCUCCUGGGAAACUAGUACACAACCGACGCCUGUACCGUCCGUGUUUGCUGAUCCGAAAGUGUAAAUUUUCUAUGUUCUACUAUCUCCUCAAGUAUAUCUACCGAGUCUUGGAUACUCUCUCCUACAUAUCACUUUUAAUGCUUUUAUACUUGCUUUUACAUGUUUCCUUGGAAAUGUCUCUGAGACUCCAAGUGAACACAUCUCUAUUUUCUUUCAAAAGAGUAAACAAGCUUUCUUUCUCAUCUA